rnacentral:rRNA from 1 species
UACAGAGGGUGCAAGCGUUAUUCGGAAUUACUGGGCGUAAAGGGUUCGUAGGCGGCCAACUAAGUCAAACGUGAAAUCCCUCGGCUUAACCGGGGAACUGCGCUUGAUACUGGAUGGCUUGAGAUUGGGAGAGGGAUGCGGAAUUCCAGGUGUAGCGGUGAAAUGCGUAGAUAUCUGGAGGAACACCGGUGGCGAAGGCGGCAUCCUGGACCAACACUGACGCUGAGGAGCGAAAGCCAGGGGAGCAAACGGG